CCUACGGGAGGCAGCAGUGGGGAAUUUUGGACAAUGGGGGCAACCCUGAUCCAGCCAUGCCGCGUGAGUGAAGAAGGCCUUCGGGUUGUAAAGCUCUUUCGGCCGGAACGAAAUCGCGCACGUGAAUAACGUGCGUGGAUGACGGUACCGGAGUAAGAAGCACCGGCUAACUACGUGCCAGCAGCCGCGGUAAUACGUAGGGUGCGAGCGUUAAUCGGAAUUACUGGGCGUAAAGCGUGCGCAGGCGGUUCGCUAAGUCAGACGUGAAAGCCCCGGGCUUAACCUGGGAACGGCGUUUGAAACUGGCGGGCUCGAGUACGGCAGAGGGGGGUGGAAUUCCACGUGUAGCAGUGAAAUGCGUAGAUAUGUGGAGGAACACCGAUGGCGAAGGCAGCCCCCUGGGCCGAUACUGACGCUCAUGCACGAAAGCGUGGGGAGCAAACAGGAUUAGAUACCCUGGUAGUCCACGCCCUAAACUAUGUCAACUAGUUGUCGGGGAAGCAAUUCCUUGGUAACGCAGCUACGACGUGAGUAGACCGCCGUGGGAGGUACGGUCGCAGAUAAACUACAAGAAGUAGACGCGNGAGACGNGCCGACGACGACGACGAGGGAGUAGG
rnacentral:rRNA from 1 species